GACGAACGCUGGCGGCGUGCUUAACACAUGCAAGUCGAACGGAAAGGCCCUGCUUUUGUGGGGUGCUCGAGUGGCGAACGGGUGAGUAACACGUGAGUAACCUGCCCUUGACUUUGGGAUAACUUCAGGAAACUGGGGCUAAUACCGGAUAGGAGCUCCUGCUGCAUGGUGGGGGUUGGAAAGUUUCGGCGGUUGGGGAUGGACUCGCGGCUUAUCAGCUUGUUGGUGGGGUAGUGGCUUACCAAGGCUUUGACGGGUAGCCGGCCUGAGAGGGUGACCGGCCACAUUGGGACUGAGAUACGGCCCAGACUCCUACGGGAGGCAGCAGUGGGGAAUAUUGCACAAUGGGCGGAAGCCUGAUGCAGCAACGCCGCGUGCGGGAUGACGGCCUUCGGGUUGCAAACCGCUUUCGCCUGUGACGAAGCGUGAGUGACGGCAAUGGGUAAAGAAGCACCGGCUAACUACGUG
rnacentral:rRNA from 1 species